rnacentral:rRNA from 1 species
AGAGUUUGAUCCUGGCUCAGAAUGAACGCUGGCGGCGUGCCUAACACAUGCAAGUCGAACGAGAAAUUUCCGCUUCGGCGGAGAGAGUAAAGUGGCGCACGGGUGAGUAACGCGUGGGUAACCUGCCUUUGAAUCUAGGAUAACCCCGUGAAAACGGGACUAAUACUGGAUAAUGUCCCUUUUGGCUGUGGCCUUAGGGAUGAAAGGUGACCUCUUCAUGAAAGUUGCCGUUCAAAGAGGGGCCCGCGUACCAUUAGCUUGUUGGUGGGGUAACGGCCUACCAAGGCUACGAUGGUUAGCUGGUCUGAGAGGAUGAUCAGCCACACUGGAACUGGAACACGGUCCAGACUCCUACGGGAGGCAGCAGUGAGGAAUUUUGCGCAAUGGGGGAAACCCUGACGCAGCAACGCCGCGUGAGUGAUGAAGAUUUUCGGAUCGUAAAGCUCUGUCAAGCGGGAAAAAAUUCUUUCGGUCAAUACCCGGAAGAACUGAUGGUACCGCUGGAGGAAGCACCGGCUGACUCCGUGCCAGCAGCCGCGGUAAUACGGAGGGUGCAAGCGUUGUUCGGAUUUACUGGGCGUAAAGAGCGUGUAGGUGGUUUAGCAAGUCAGAUGUGAAAGCCCUGGGCUCAACUCAGGAAGUGCAUUUGAAACUGUUAUUCUAGAGUAUGGGAGAGGAGAGUGGAAUUCCCAGUGUAGAGGUGAAAUUCGUAGAUAUUGGGAGGAACACCGGUGGCGAAGGCGACUCUCUGGACCAAUACUGACACUGAGACGCGAAAGCGUGGGGAGCAAACAGGAUUAGAUACCCUGGUAGUCCACGCGGUAAACGAUGAGAACUAGGUGUAGCGGGUAUUGACCCCUGCUGUGCUGCAGCUAACGCAUUAAGUUCUCCGCCUGGGGAGUACGGCCGCAAGGCUAAAACUCAAAGGAAUUGACGGGGGCCCGCACAAGCGGUGGAGCAUGUGGUUUAAUUCGACGCAACGCGAAGAACCUUACCUGGAUUUGACAUCCUCUUGCAGCCCUGGAAACAGGGUUUUUCCGACUUGUCGGAAGAGAGUGACAGGUGCUGCAUGGCUGUCGUCAGCUCGUUCGUGAGAUGUUGGGUUAAGUCCCGCAACGAGCGCAACCCUUGUCUCUAGUUGCCAGUAUUAAGUUAGGGACUCUAGAGAGACUGCCUCGGUUAACGGGGAGGAAGGUGGGGAUGACGUCAAGUCCUCAUGGCCUUUAUAUCCAGGGCUACACACGUGCUACAAUGGGCUGUACAAAGGGUCGCUAACUCGCGAGAGUACGCCAAUCC